rnacentral:rRNA from 1 species
GAAGGGGGCGAGCGUUGUUCGGAUUUACUGGGCGUAAAGGGCGCGCAGGCGGCUCAUUUUGUCAGGCGUGAAAGCCCCGGGCUUAACCUGGGAACUGCGCUUGAGACGGGUGGGCUAGAGAUCGGGAGAGGAGAGUGGAAUUCCCAGUGUAGAGGUGAAAUUCGUAGAUAUUGGGAAGAACACCGGUGGCGAAGGCGGCUCUCUGGACCGAUACUGACGCUGAGGCGCGAAAGCGUGGGGAGCAAACAGGAUUAGAUACCCUGGUAGUCCACGCCGUAAACGAUGUGUGCUAGACGUUGGGGAGCCUAGCUCUUCGGUGUCGCAGCUAACGCUUUAAGCACACCGCCUGGGGAGUACGGCCGCAAGGUUA